CCGGUGCGGCUCGCCAGCCGCGCGGAUGAAAAGGGAACCGGGUGAGAGUCCCGGACAGUCCCGCUGCUGUGAACCUCCGUCAAAGUCCUGAAUAUCUGUUGCCACUGGACAGCCUGCCGCUGCCGGGAAGGACUCGGGACGAGGAGCUAGUCAGAAGACCUGCCAUUCAUUAA
rnacentral:ncRNA from 1 species